ACAUGCAAGUCGAACGCUGAAGCCCCAGCUUGCUGGGGUGGAUGAGUGGCGAACGGGUGAGUAACACGUGAGUAACCUUCCCUUGACUCUGGGAUAAGCCCGGGAAACUGGGUCUAAUACCGGAUACGACCUCCUGCCGCAUGGUGUGGGGGUGGAAAGAUUUAUCGGUUUUGGAUGGACUCGCGGCCUAUCAGCUUGUUGGUGAGGUAAUGGCUCACCAAGGCGACGACGGGUAGCCGGCCUGAGAGGGUGACCGGCCACACUGGGACUGAGACACGGCCCAGACUCCUACGGGAGGCAGCAGUGGGGAAUAUUGCACAAUGGGCGCAAGCCUGAUGCAGCGACGCCGCGUGAGGGAUGACGGCCUUCGGGUUGUAAACCUCUUUCAGUAGGGAAGAAGCGAAAGUGACGGUACCUGCAGAAGAAGCGCCGGCUAACUACGUGCCAGCAGCCGCGGUAACACGUAGGGCGCGAGCGUUAUCCGGAAUUAUUGGGCGUAAAGAGCUCGUAGGCGGUUUGUCGCGUCUGCCGUGAAAGUCCGGGGCUUAACCCCGGAUCUGCGGUGGGUACGGGCAGACUAGAGUGCAGUAGGGGAGACUGGAAUUCCUGGUGUAGCGGUGAAAUGCGCAGAUAUCAGGAGGAACACCGAUGGCGAAGGCAGGUCUCUGGGCUGUUACUGACGCUGAGGAGCGAAAGCAUGGGGAGCGAACAGGAUUAGAUACCCUGGUAGUCCAUGCCGUAAACGUUGGGCACUAGGUGUGGGGGACAUCCCACGUUUUCCGCGCCGCAGCUAACGCAUUAAGUGCCCCGCCUGGGGAGUACGGCCGCAAGGCUAAAACUCAAAGGAAUUGACGGGGGCCCGCACAAGCGGCGGAGCAUGCGGAUUAAUUCGAUGCAACGCGAAGAACCUUACCAAGGCUUGACAUGU
rnacentral:rRNA from 1 species